GAUGAACGCUGGCGGCGUGCCUAAUACAUGCAAGUCGAGCGAACAGACGAGGAGCUUGCUCCUCUGACGUUAGCGGCGGACGGGUGAGUAACACGUGGAUAACCUACCUAUAAGACUGGGAUAACUUCGGGAAACCGGAGCUAAUACCGGAUAAUAUAUUGAACCGCAUGGUUCAAUAGUGAAAGACGGUUUUGCUGUCACUUAUAGAUGGAUCCGCGCCGCAUUAGCUAGUUGGUAAGGUAACGGCUUACCAAGGCAACGAUGCGUAGCCGACCGGAGAGGGGGAUCGGCCACACUGGAACGGGGACACGCUCCAGACUCCUACGGGAGGCAGCAGAAGGGAAUCUGCCGCAAUGGGCGAAAGCUUGGCGGAGCAACGCCGCGUGAGUGAUGAAGGUCUUCGGAGCGUAAAGCCCUGUUAUUAGGGAAGAACAAAUGUGUCAGUAACUAUGCCCGUCUUGACGGUACCUAAUCAGAAAGCAACGGCUAACUACGUG
rnacentral:rRNA from 1 species